ACGUAGGGUGCGAGCGUUAAUCGGAAUUACUGGGCGUAAAGCGCAUGCAGGCGGUUCGUUAAGUCAGAUGUGAAAUCCCCGGGCUUAACCUGGGAACGGCGCUUGAAACUGGCGGACUGGAGUACUGUAGAGGGGGGUGGAAUUCCAGGUGUAGCGGUGAAAUGCGUAGAGAUGUGGAGGAACACCGAUGGCGAAGGCAGCCCCCUGGGCAGAUACUGACGCUCA
rnacentral:rRNA from 1 species